GAUGAACGCUAGCGGCAGGCCUAACACAUGCAAGUCGAGGGAUAAGCCUUCGGGCUAAGACCGGCGCACGGGUGCGUAACGCGUAUACAAUCUGCCUUUUAUCCGGGGGAUAGCCCGAAGAAAUUUGGAUUAAUACCCUAUGGUAUAAGAGCACGGCAUCGUGCACUUAUUAAAGCUACGGCGGUGAAAGAUGAGUAUGCGUUCUAUUAGCUAGUUGGAGAGGUAACGGCUCCCCAAGGCGACGAUAGAUAGGGGUUCUGAGAGGGAUGUCCCCCACACUGGUACUGAGAUACGGACCAGACUCCUACGGGAGGCAGCAGUGAGGAAUAUUGGACAAUGGUCGGAAGACUGAUCCAGCCAUGCCGCGUGCAGGAUGACGGCCUUAUGGGUUGUAAACUGCUUUUGUAAGGGAAGAAUAAGGAGUACGUGUACUUUGAUGACGGUACCUUACGAAUAAGCAUCGGCUAACUCCGU
rnacentral:rRNA from 1 species